UCUGUUUAACUUGGAGGUCGGUACUGGUGCUGUGAAAAUCAAGGACUCUGUUCUUACACAUAAGUGCGUCUUUCGAUAGCCCUGAGGGCUUCUGGACUAAGUGGGAAGUGGAAACACAUUUGCGGAGAGGCAAUUGAGCAAUAUUAUCAUGGACCUUAAUGUUCUGGAAUGCGGAAUAUGUAACGAACUCUAUGACGAAGAUGAGUUUCGUCCGAGAAUUCUCCCCUGUUCCCAUACAUAUUGCUCGACCUGCAUCAAGCAACUCAUUUCCUCAGGACACUUGUCUUGCCCACUCUGCCGGGAGAAAUUCGUGGCUCUUUCCGUCAACGAUUUCAUGAUAAACAGAAGUCUUAUAGAUGUAGUGCGUCAAUUCGCUGGUAGAGGUCACAGAGUCGAGGACUCGAGGGACAAGAGCCAUUCUCGCGCCGAGUGGGUGGGUUCCCCGAAGGAUUUCUGCAAGAGGAAGCUUGCUGAAUGUGAGAAGGAAAGGGCUGACGUUCUGAAUUUCAUUAAAAGUUCCGAAAUGCUGAAAGGUGAAGCAUUGAAUCUCAGCAAAGAAUUUGAUAGCAGCUUCAAAAUUUUUUUACAAGACUCAAAGAACGAAAGUGACAGUAUGACUCAGAGGGUUGGAAACAUAAAGAAGCUUAUACAAUCCAAGUUAGAAGCAUUAUUGAUAGAGGAAGAUAAUAUUAAACUAUUGUUGGAGCAGCAGAACCUCUCGCAAAAUACUGAAUUGUUAAGAGAGGUUGAUACUUCUGUUAAUAAACUUCUGGAACAUAUUAAAGAUGAACGUUUAGUAGCUGACAAAGAAAUCACAUUGAUGAAACAGACAUUUUUCCGGUUUCAAAGAAAAAUAAGCGUUAUCCAAAGGGCCAUAGCUGAGGAAGGGGGCGAUGGAAAAUAUAUAACAAUUGAAAACCUUCGAAAGAUGAGCAGCUGUCUAAGGGAAAUCAUAGCAGCGGGAAAACUGUUCGCGAUUCAGGACCAUCAAGGAAUUAGAAGGUAUGCCUCUGUCAAGUUGGAUUCCAGAAACAGGAUUAUUCUAUUUCAGCUUAAGGAACUGAAACACAUCCACUGUGACGUAUUCCUUAUCAAGCACGAAGAAGCGAUGAAACUGCUGGACCUCUCCACUUGCCGAACAUUCCUGGAAAUAGGAAUCCGUGAGACUAUAAAAGGCCGAGUGGUCAUCAAGUUGACUGCUGAUGGUUAUUACUCGAAUAACUUUUUACAUCUCUGUGCCGGAUCUAUGGGGCCCUCUUACGCGAAUUCCAAGGUACUAGAGAUAAAGAAGAGAGGCAUGAAGGGGGAACGAGCACGAAUGGGUAACUACGAAAAGAUGCCUCAGUAGGAGGGAAGGCGGUUCUGAAAGGAGUUAACUGGAGCCAGGAGAUGGAGAAUGAAAUGUACAAGAGAACUUCCUGUGUGGCUGGAUUAGUGAAGGGACUGAAUGGACCCGAUGAAGAAAGCGUCUCACAGUUCUUCAUUAUCACCACAGACGAUCCGUCCUCUGCUCCUUACCCUUGCUUUGGAAAGGUCGAAAGUGGACUUGAUGUCUUGAAAAAGGCGAUUUCUCAGCAUCCAGAUACAACACAAGUAACAGUUGUCAACUCCGGUAUUAUUCUUUCUCUGUAACUAUGGCCUCAGCUAAAAGAACAUGUAACAUCUACAGCCAAUUUCUUAUAGUAGAAACACCGUAUUACGUCAGGUAACAUCAGCGAUGCCAUAAACAGCCUACCUAAUAAUAAAUCGCCCGGGUGUGAUGUCUUCCUGCAGAGGCCUUCAAAUUCUGCUAUCCGAUAAUUUACAUUUUGCUAGCUGCCCUAUUCAAUGCGUGCAUAAUUCACCGGUUUCUUCCAGACUCCCUACUCUUAGUCCAUUUGAUACCAUUAAUCAAAAACAAGCUAAAGGAAGUAACUGACCCUUGCAACUACCGGCCGAUUGCAAUCACAACGAUCGCAUCGAAGAAACUUGAGUCUGUUCUUCUAGUGAGACUUCUCCCCUUUCUACACACCACUGACAACCAGUUCAGGUUUAAAGCAAACCACUCAACCCACACCUGCAUCUACAUACUGAAGAAUUGCUGAAUUACUACCUAUCAUCAGCCUCUCCUGUUUUCCUUUGUUUUGUAGAUGUGAGAAAAGCAUUUGACAGAGUAAACUACCUGAAGCUCUUCCUGAAGCUGCAUAAAAGGGGUACACCCCUGUAUCUAAUUGGCAUUUUGCAUUGCUGGUUCUCCACACAGCAUUUCUGUGUCAAAUGGGGUAACGUAUUAUCUUACACCGUCGGCUCCCUAAACGGGCUUCGGCAAGGGGGCAUUCUCUCUCCAUACCUGUUUAAUACGUACACAGAUGCCUUGAAUGUCAAACUGAACUCACUCCCAAUCAGAUGCACCGUCAAUGAAACAACUAUAAUUAACCUCUGUUACGCCGACGAUAUGGUUCUGAUUUCCCCAUCAGUGCAAGGUCUCCAACGACUCAUCGACACUUGCCGCCAAUAUGUAGAGGAAUUUUAUAUAAUCUACAACGAAACCAAGACCCAGUGCAUGUCGCUGCUCCCGAGAUCGCUUAAGCAUAUUGCAGAACCACAAACUUUCCUUGGAAACCAUCGGCUGGAAUUUGUGCAUGAAUUUCCGUAUUUGGGUCACAUUAUCACCGACGACCUAAAAGAUACGGCAGACAUUGAACAGAGGCGUCGUAAACUAUGUGCAGCUGGCAACAUGAUUGCUAGGAGGUUUGCCUUCUGUCACCAAGACGUGAAACUGCUGCUCUUCCGCUCGCACUGCUACAGUAUCUAUGGGUGUUCCCUCUGGACGAGCUAUACCCGAGAGACCAUGAGACGCAUCACUGUUGUGCACAAUGACAUUCUGAGACGCCUCACAAACACUCCCCGCUACCACUCCGCCACACAGAUGUUUAUAGAAAACCGCCUGGAGAAUUUAAAAAUCAUUGUUAGGCGAACAAUCUCCAGUCUGGUAACCCGAGUGAGAAACAGCAGCAACUCGCUCAUACAAAGCAUCCUAAGGAGUGAAGCAAGAAGAAGAUCUAAAUUGUGGGAAAGAUGGGAAAAUAAGGCGUUUGUUCCCUAAAAGACUUAAUCUCUGUAUUGGCAAGAUGUCAUCUGCAGUUUUUGUCAUUAUUACAUUUAUUGCUGUUAUUCUAAUUUUUCUUUAUUACUGUGAUUACUAUCAAGUUAAAGUUUUUUUUUUUUUACAUUCCUUUUUUGUAUUUAGCCCUCUGGACCUGACUACUGUAACCACCUAAGGUCUCUAGUUGAAAUUUAAGUUAUAUAAUUUGUGCACUAACUGUUAUUACUCUCAAUGCAUAUUAUUUUCUCUCACCAAUAUUAUUACUGUUAUUACCAGUAUUAUGAUUACUAGCUUUUAUGCUACCUCAGCUAUUUUGUGGAUAAGUGCCGAUUAUUCAUUUUCUUUUUCUUUUUUAUCAUGUCUCAUGUAUCUAGAUUGUGUAUGUUACUAUCUGUAUUUUGUAUAUUCAAUGUAUAUGGCCCUGAGCUGAAAUAAAGCAUAUUAUUAUUAUUAUUA